rnacentral:misc_RNA from 1 species
GACAGGGGAUGCAAGCGUUACUCGGAAUUACUGGGCGUAAAGCGUCUGUAGGCGAUUUCUUAAGUCCGGGGUCAAAGUUCGGAGCUCAACUCCGUGUCUGUUCCGGAAACUGAGAGAAUUGAGCCAUUCAGAGGUACCUGGAAUGUCAUGUGGAGGGGUAAAAUCCGUAGAUACAUGAUGGAACGCCAAAAGCGAAGGCAGGGUACUGGGGAUGUGCUGACGCUGAGAGACGAAAGCGUGGGGAGCAAAGGGG